rnacentral:rRNA from 1 species
AGAGUUUGAUCCUGGCUCAGGAUGAACGCUGGCGGCGUGCCUAAUACAUGCAAGUCGAGCGAACAGAUAAGGAGCUUGCUCCUUUGAAGUUAGCGGCGGACGGGUGAGUAACACGUGGGUAACCUACCUAUAAGACUGGGAUAACUUCGGGAAACCGGAGCUAAUACCGGAUAACAUUUAGAACCGCAUGGUUCUAAAGUGAAAGAUGGUUUUGCUAUCACUUAUAGAUGGACCCGCGCCGUAUUAGCUAGUUGGUAAGGUAACGGCUUACCAAGGCGACGAUACGUAGCCGACCUGAGAGGGUGAUCGGCCACACUGGAACUGAGACACGGUCCAGACUCCUACGGGAGGCAGCAGUAGGGAAUCUUCCGCAAUGGGCGAAAGCCUGACGGAGCAACGCCGCGUGAGUGGUGAAGGGUUUCGGCUCGUAAAACUCUGUUAUUAGGGAAGAACAAAUGUGUAAGUAACUGUGCACAUCUUGACGGUACCUAAUCAGAAAGCCACGGCUAACUACGUG